rnacentral:rRNA from 1 species
AGCUUGCUAUGAUAAAAAUUAGUGGCAGACGGGUGAGUAAUGCAUAGGAAUCUACCUAGUAGUAUGGGAUAGCCACUAGAAAUGGUGGGUAAUACUGUAUAAUCCCUGCGGGGGAAAGAUUUAUCGCUAUUAGAUGAGCCUAUGUUAGAUUAGCUAGUUGGUAGGGUAAAGG